rnacentral:rRNA from 1 species
GUUUGAUCCUGGCUCAGAUUAAACGCUGGCGGCAUGCCUUACACAUGCAAGUCGAACGGCAGCACGGGGGCAACCCUGGUGGCGAGUGGCGGACGGGUGAGUAAAGCAUCGGAACGUAUCCUGGAGUGGGGGAUAACGUAGCGAAAGUUACGCUAAUACCGCAUAUUCUGUGAGCAGGAAAGCAGGGGAUCGCAAGACCUUGCGCUCUGGGAGCGGCCGAUGUCGGAUUAGCUAGUUGGUGGGGUAAAGGCCUACCAAGGCGACGAUCCGUAGCGGGUCUGAGAGGAUGAUCCGCCACACUGGGACUGAGACACGGCCCAGACUCCUACGGGAGGCAGCAGUGGGGAAUUUUGGACAAUGGGCGAAGCCUGAUCCAGCCAUGCCGCGUGAGUGAAGAAGG